GUUUUAUUUAAGGCAGGCAUUAUUUCAGUUCUGGUGCCUUCAGAGAGAUAUUCCCACAGAUACAUAAAAAGUAACGUGGGAGAAUAAAAACCUUUCAUACCUUACAGACCCCUCUAGAGAACACGAGGAUGAGCCAUUCACUGCAAGACAGAAGUUGGGCCCUGCCUUUGAGGGUGUUGAGGGUUAGGUGUCCUUUUGUUAUUGUUGUUGUUCUGGCCUGCCCGUGGAAUUUUUACCCAUUAGCUGAGGAGACAACCUAAGUGUGGGGAUUUAGUGGGUGAUUGAUAAAGGACAAAGAGUGGCCGGGCCCGGGGGGGAAGAGGGCAGGAAAGGAGGGUGGGGACAGUUUUUGGCUGGCUUUCUUCGGUUUUGGGGAAAGACAUUCGUUUGCUGGGUCUCGGAGCUGUUGUGGUGGGGAGAAGGGAAUUUCGGCAUCACCCAGACGGAGCUGCUGCUGCUUCUCCUUCUUCCCUCUUUGUUGGUGGCCUCGUACUCCCUGUCCUGCCGGGACGUGUGGCAGUGCCAGGCACCGCCACGGAGCUGCUGAUCCACCUCAUCCACCGGCCCGGGAUCUCAGCUCAUCCCUGCUGAUCCACCUCAUCCACUGCCCCAGGAUCUCAGCUCAUCCCUGCUGUUCCACCUCAUCCACCAGCCCAGGAUCUCAGCUCAUCCCUGCUGUUCCACCUCAUCCACUGCCCCAGGAUCUCAGCUCAUCCCUGCUGUUCCACCUCAUCCACUGGCCCAGGAUCUCAGCUCGUCCCUGCUGUUCCAGCCGAGUGUUCCUCAGAGCCCUGCAGGAGCACCGGCACUGCCUGAGGGGGUUUGUGAAACAAAGCCUCUCCCCCAUCCCAUCUCAGCUGAGAAAGCUGUCCCGGGGUCCCUGGUUCUGUUCUUGUUAUUGCUGUAGUUAUUGUUUGUUUGCCUGGUUAUACACACUAGUAAAGAACUGUUAUUCCUAUCUCCAGAUCUCUGCCUUAGGGCCCCUUGAUUUCAGAAUGAUAAUAAUUCGGAGGGAGGGG
rnacentral:lncRNA from 1 species